AAAUAAACAGCACGGGAGUGAGUGACCUCGGAACCUCGGCGGCGGCAGCCCAUUUUAGCUCCUUCUCCACUCCAGCUCCAAAUCAAAGAUUUCGGGAGGUGCAAAAUUCCAGAUUGUUUUUAAAACUGUGAGAAUUCGCCAGCCAUGCGAAUUGCCUGUUAGCAACAGACCCACCAGGUAGCGUAGCACCAACCCCUCUUCGCGAGCUUCCGGAAACACCCUCCGAGAUCCAGCAUUCACCCGUCAAAGACUGCCUCCACGGAGCAAUUGGUCAGUAAGAAAAACUCCCCCUUUUUUGUCUUUGAACAUGCCCCCUAUAUACACACUCCUCGUAAUUAGUACGGUCCUCCAAUCCUAAGAUGUUUUAGUUGGAAGGAGGAGUCAAAUGAACAAAGGGGCAGUACAAAUAUGUGUAAUGCCACAUUCUCCCCCCCAGGAUGAAACAACCCAGGGUUGUUAUGGAAGAAGAAUCAAAAUCCUAAAAAUUCCUCCUCAUCUGAGGUUUCUUGAAAGAUGUCUUGAAGUCUUUUCUUUGCUUGGUCCUCCAACUGCUCAGCUGUGGGAAAACACAUUUUAAGAUUGCACACAUGUGCAGUGCGCACAUCUUCUCCAGUGGUCUCCAACGCUAUGCGAUAAUUUAAAGGUCCCAGUGACUUCAGAACCCGGUAAGGCCCUUUCCAUUUGGGUGCCAAUUUGGCACUAAACUUGUGUUGUGCACUAGAUUGGGGAAAAUUUCGCAGCCAUACCCGGUCUUUGAUCUUGAAAGUGCUGUCUCGUCUUCUUUUGUUAUAGUUCCGAAGUUGUCGAUGUUGGGCUUUUCUGAUACUCUCUUUAACUUGAGAUUGCAAAUGUUGUAUGUGAGAAACAACGUCAUAGGAGGUGGUGUCAGGAGUGAGAUUUGGACCAUGUAGCAUUUUAUCCAUAGGCCCUUCCAGUUUCCUUCCAAGCUGCAAUUCUGCAGGAGUUAAUCCAAUGGUUUCCUGAAUUGCAGAAUUAAUGGCGAAUCUCAUUUCUGGUAAGAACUGGUCCCAUUUCGUGUGGUUUUCAUCCACAUAUGAUGCAAUCAUACUCUUAAGAGUUCUGUUUACUCGUUCUGUCAUGUUUGUUUGAGGAUGAUAUGCUGUAGUUAACUUCGGUGUUACCCUCCAUUUUUCACAUACUUCUCUGAACACAGAUGAGACAAACUGGGUGCCUCUAUCAGAGAGAAUGAAGUCUGGGACUCCCCAACGAGUUAAGAUUUCUUUUCUGAGAAUUGUUGCAACAUUUUGAGCGGUGGCGUUACGCAUGGGGAAGAACUCAACCCAUCGUGAGUAAUAAUCCACAAAAACCAGUUUCUGGUUAUCAUGUCGAAGGAUUUGGCAUUUCACACAUUCCUUGACAUGAUGUUUCACAUCCGUCCACAUCCCUGGCCAAAACGUUACUUCCUGGAGUCGUUUAUAGGUCUUAUAAAUUCCUCUAUGACCACUCAGGGGGUGUGAAUGAUAAUGUUGCAGGAGAGUUGGCCGGAGACUGCUGGGAACAUACACUCUGUAGUGUAUUUGAUCAUUUUUCAGGUGAGAUUUGUGAUAUAGCUUGUCUUCUACCACUUCGUAUUGGUCUGUUUGAGGGAUUUGUUCUUCUGCUACUGCUUGUAACAACUUUAUUACUUCACAGUCUUUAUGCUGUUCUUCCCACAGAACAAUAUCGGUCACUGGAAACUCUGAAAGUUGAUCCGUCUGUUGCUUUGUGUAAAGUGCUGUGAUAGGAGUUUUUGCUGUGACUGAUGACCUGGACAGAGCAUCAGGGGCGACGUUUAAUUUCCCUUUACGGUAUUCAAUGACAAAGUUGAAUUUUUGCAAUCUUAAGACCCAUCGGAUGAGGCGGCUGUUGGUUUUAGUGGAUCCCAUGACCCAUUGCAGAGCGGAAUGGUCUGUGACAACCGUGAAAAGCUUGUAUUCCAGGUAAUGUUGCCACUUCUCUAAGGCCCAUAUAACUGCCAGACACUCUUUUUCUGUUGCCGUGUAGUUGAUCUCUGCUCCAGUUAAUGUUCGACUGGCAUAUGCAAUAACCUCCUCCCUACCUAGUUCUUUUCUCUGCGAGAGAAUGGCUCCCAGUCCAGUAUCACUGGCAUCUGUGUAAACAAUGAACGGGACUUGCAGAUCAGGGUGGCCGAGAAUGGGGGGCGAGGUAAGGCAUGCUUUUAACUGGUCAAACGCUUGCUGACACUGUUUUGUCCAUUUAAACACCUGUCCCUUUUUUUUCAGGGAAUUGAGGGGCUCAGCAAUUUUAGAAAAAUUUGGCACAAACCGGUGGUACCAACCGGCUAAUCCCAAGAACCUCUGAACUUCCUUCAAGGUGUUGGGAGCAGGAAAGGCACGAAUGGCUUCAACUUUACUUGGAUCAGCUGUGAUGCCCUUAUUGCUCACCACGUGUCCUAGAAAGCUCCCCCAGGACUGUCUCCAUCAGCCUCUGGAAGGUAGCAGGGGCAUUUUUUAACCCGAAAGGCAUGACAUUGAAGUGAUACAGACCUGCAGACACGAUAAAAGCAGUCUUGGCUUUACUAUCAGGGUCCAUCAUCACUUGCCAAUAUCCACAGUUAAGGUCUAGAGUGGAGAAAAUGGAUGCCCCGGAGAGUGAUUCUAGGAUCUCAGUGAUGUUCGGAAGAGGGUAAGCGUCAUUUUCAGUAAUUCCAUUAACUUUACGGUAGUCUACACAGAAUCUUAACUUUCCAUUUUUCUUUGGAACCAGAACUACAGGUGAGGCCCAAGCAGAAUGUGAUGGCUCCACAAUCCCCUCUUUCAACAUUACUUCCAAUUGUUCCUCCAUUGCUUGUUGCUUGACAGGGGAUAACCGAUAUGGCCGUUGUUUGAUAGGAACCUGGCAGGUAGUAUAGAUGUAAUGUUGUAGGACAUCCGUUCGCCCAGUUUGGUGAGUACAUACUUGUGGGUUGCUUUCUAAUAUCUGAAGUAGCUGUUGUUUUCCACCCAUAGGUAGAUGUGCUUUACUUACAGCAUCUCUAAUUAAGGUUGCAUCAUCCACACUGUCAGUUUGUAACAUGGUUAAGGGAGGAGGAACAGCACUUAACAAGGUUAGGUUUAGUUUGCCUUUGCUAGUUCUUUUCUUUUCCUUCAUUGGUGGGGAGUUCACCAGUGGUUCACUAGCAUUUCCAGGUUGGAAUGGAUGUUCUUCAGAAGGGUCUGACUGAAAAUAAUAUUUUUGUUCACUGACAUUAAUUUGCAAGCCACUGAAAAAAAUGAAGUCCAAUCCCAAGAUGAUGGCAUAAGCAAGAGCUUGAGAAGGGAGAACCACAGCAGGUACUGUGAUGGAUUUUUUGUGCAGAUGAACAUUAAUGUUUAUCCAUCCUAAAGGACCCUCAGCUUUGCCGUUAGCUAAGUAAAGAGGACCACAGGACCAAGGUUGGAGAUGAAGAGGGUUUGCAAUUUGCUCCAUAAGAUUCUCAUGAAUUAACGUGUAACUUGCUCCAGUAUCCACGAUCGCUUUCCCAGACCAAGAUCCAAUGCUAAUUGGAACUACUAAUUGUUGAGGUAUGGUCAUGAAUGCAUUUGAUCUUGGAAUCUUCUGAGUGUCUGCUUGUGCCUGUGGUAUUUCAGAGGCUGCUACAGUGUUAUUGGAUGGUCGGCCUCCUGACUUUGCAGAGUGGUGAGAAUACUUUUCAUGGGUGAAAUGUUGUUGAUGUUGACCAGAAGACUGCGGAGAAGGGGGAUGUACAUACUUUGGACAGUUUCCUGGAGGAUGCGGUCCAUUACAUCUCCAACACUGAACAAACGGUUUCUCAGCAGAUCGGUUGGAUAAUUGUUUUUGGGAAUUGGCUUGUUGUUUAAAGCCCAUACGACCUUCAUACCGAAGCUGUUCUUCAUGGUCUCUUUCCAAUUGGUGUCCAAGUCUUACCAAAUCUUCGACAGUGUUCACACGACUGCGUAACUGACUUGCAAGGUAAGGCUUGAUAUUUUUUAGGAUCAUUUUGACAAUCUCGUUUUCUGUUAAGGUGGCUUUCCAUCUUUUACACAAUGCUCGAUAAGUAAAUGCAAAGUCUCUUACUGAUUCCUUCUCCCCUUGAACUCUAGUGCGGACACGUUCAGCCAGCUCAUCCUCAUAGUCCUCAGACAAAAAAGCAGAGAGAAAUGCAGACUCAAACUCCUUCCAAGUGUUUAUAUGGAAGCGACUUACUUCCCACCAGUCGCGUGCAGUGCCAUGCAACACUGUGCGGAAGGUAGCCAGGAGAUCUGCAUCAUUUAAAGGAUGUAGAGCCAGAAAAUCUUGACACUUGGUCAAGUACAACAGGGGGUCAGCAUCAUCAGUAGGACGCCCAAAAGUGGGAAAUGUUAAUUUAAUAUGGUCACUUUUGAAAGGUGUUGAAACAAUCUCUGUUGGGGGAAAAAUAGAAACUUGAGUGUUUUUUUCUGUUUGCACUUUAGCCUCGUCUUCCUUUAAGACUUGAACAUCAUGUUGCAGCUCAGCUACACCAGUACGACAUUUGUGAAUUUGUGUUUCACAUUGCUGAAGAUUGGUGGUUACCUGAUCAAGGCUACCCUGAAGUGCACGUUGCAUAGCUUUAAUAUCUUGUUGGAUCUCCACACGUAGCUGUUCUACCUUAUCCCGGACUACAGAAGUAAGGGACAGUUCCAUUUUUUGAAUCUCCUUUGACAUCAUCAGUUGCACAGCCUUAACCAUUUGGUCGGUCUCAGCUUCCUCUUGUUGUUUACCUGCAGUCAUUAGUGUGACAACCUGUUGAUUGUUGGUCUCCACCUUAGCUGCAAGAUCAGUAAUCUGAUUUUCAUGGUGAGAAGAUGAGGUUUUCAGUACCCGGGGGUUGGAAGAUUUCCUGGCAGAUCAUGCUGAGCCAUUGAAGGAGAUGUAACAUCACCAGAUGUACACAGUUGCAUGCUGUCAUAUGAUGAGGCCCAGGGAAGAGGUUGCACUGGAGCAAGAGCAGGGGCGGGCACAUUCACCGGGGUUCCAGUGUAAACGAAACUAUGUGGAGUGGAAAUAUCAUACAUGGUUGGGUUACGUGAAAGAAGGCCUGAAUGAGUUUGUACAGGAGGUGGCCAAAUUGGAGUGGAAAUACUAGGGACAUCAGGGGCAUCAAUAUCCACAUAGGUGGAAGAUGGGGAAGAGGAAGUGGCCAUGUCUUGUAAUAUGUGGGACUAUUUGAAAUGUUGGGAAAAAAUAAAAAUAAAAAAUGAAAGAUUCAGAGCCAGUGUAUGUGUUUUUUGGCAACAGGGGCAAAAAUAACAAAACAAAAAAAAAACAGAGUUUCUCUAUACAGUCAAUUUACAACUUUUUCAACAUCAGACAAUACACAUCCAAAACAUCCGGUUUUAUAGAAAUCCAAUUCUCAAUUUAAGUUACCACAGUCCAGUCAGGCUAUUCAACACACCACAAUAUAUUAAUUUUCACUCAAAAAGCACAGAGAUAACACAUCAAAUGAAUUUUCUUUUCACAAAGAUUCAGUUACUCAUUUCCUUCAAGAAAGUCACAGUGCAAAAAAAAAUUUCAGACAAAAGUUCAUGGAUUCAAAUAUUCACAUGCUGCACAUUUCUCACAAUUCAGUCACAUAAUAUCAAAGGGUUAUAAUCAGUUGGUGUUUAGUUCAGGUCCCUGUUUGGGCGCCAUUUCUGUAACGGUGGUUGAUUUGUCCCCCACAAUAUAACCAUAAAAUAAAACAAACAAAAAAAAUAUUUUUAGUGGGAACCGAACUCGGGUCCCCCAGGUGACGACGCAAUGUCGUAACCGCUAGGCCACACGUAAACUGUGACGUCAGCAGCACUCACAUUGACCUGAUUCUCAGGCCGAAAGCCUCGAAGAAAGAAAAAAAAAACACAAAAAAAAAUAAUCAGUUAUUGUUCGGGCGCCAGACAGGUAUAUACUAUAUGCCUGUCACACUUUAAUUUAGUUCAUUCCGGAUAGCACACCAGACUGACAAAACCAUCCGUAUACAAAAGAAAGAUAACAGAAAUUAUAUGCAAUUUAGAUUUACUUUAAUUUGAUGACAUCAUUAAUAUGGACACUUUUCAAAUAAUUAAGCAACGCACUUUUCAAUAACAAAUAGAAACUAAAUCGAACAAACAAGAA